GACUCAUCUGUUAGAUAUAUCCUUGGAUAAUUUAUUCAGAAUUUAUUUAUUUUAAUAUAAACAGUUAAUUGUUUAAUAUUUUACACACAGCAAAUUUUCACUUUUAUAUUCAAAGAUACUCUCUGUACAUAUCACUGCUCGGCUCUUAUAUGAAAGCACUGAAAAAAUAAAUCAAGUGAGUAUAUUCUCUAUUUUCUUUUUCAAAACCAUGGCACAUGUUGAUCCUUUAUUUUAAAACAAGAGGCUUUUUUAUAUAUAAAAACCCAACAAUCAAAAACUGUGUUCUGUGAUCAUAUACACACAUAAACUGGGAAGAAGUUGACUGGCUUCUAAGGCAACAUUUUUUUUGCUAUGCCUACAAGAAGAGCAGAAAUCCUCUCGGAGGGUCAAAUCUGCUCCUCCUCUCCUCCCUUCAAAGGCGCAAAGCACUGGCACAUUCAUGUGCUCAACCACAGGGAUGCUAGUUCAAACUUCUCCAUGUCAGGAUAUCCAGUUGGACGAUAUAAAAUUUCCUAGAAAUGCUUGUUUUAGGAUUUUAAGACAACUCAUCAGUUUUUAAUUUCCCAUUUCCUCUCCCCCCCCCCCCCACAAUCAAUAAAGCAAUUUUGUAGGUGAGAUGAUCACUCUCAAAUGACCGGUGAACAAUGUUUUGCUUCCAAAAAGAAAAAUCUAGAAGCACUUCAGGAUGAAAUAGGGAAAUGAAAAAGAGAAAAUCCCUGGAGACCACCCUCGUUCUUCCAUGCCAACUAAUUGGGGAAAACAGAUGGACUAAAAUAAGAAGAGCUACACACCAUCUCUGCUAGCCCACAAGGCUUAGUUGCAAAACACUGACAGAUUCAAAAGUUUAAGGUUUUAACACAGAUUGAAACCCAAACUCCUAAAAUUUGCUUUUUUUUUUAAUAAUGAUAACACGAUCCUUUUUGUGUUUUUUUUUUCAUAAAAAUUCACAUUAUAAGGAAAAAUUAAAAGCUUAUGUAAAACGCAGGAAAACUAAGAUAAAGAAAGCUUCUGGUGAGGUCCUUUUUCAGCAGAUGAACAGAUUCAUCUUGCACUGAAGAGCACUUGAAAUGUGAAGUUGGAACUUCAGAGAUAUGAACGACUAAGAGGGAACCCAGACUUAUGUUAUGGAUCAGACUGGGGGAAAGGCCUGGGCAGGCAACAAAAAGGCUAAAGUGCACUGGAGGGUGGAGAGACAUUGUCUGAAAACUAAAUUCAGAAGCUUCUGAACUUCAAAACAUAGAAGUACUUACAAACACAUAAUUUAUGCGGAUGGGGACGGAGAUACACAAUCUACACUGAUGGAGAAACAAACAAAGAUAGCAUUGGCACACAUGUAGAAAGAUUACACCCUUUCUAACAGGUAAACUUUAAAGAUAUGCCAUCCUUCUCUGCUUCCCUUUUUAAAAUUCAUCUUCUAGCAGUCUUUGGCUCUACAGCAGUGAUUUUAAAAGUGGGCAAGAUAAGUUCUUACCGGACUGCAGUAUAGACCCUCCAAGCCCUCUAUCCUCCAGAAGUAACUGUAGAGCAUCAGUUGUUUUGGGACCAGCAAGGCUGCCUUUCCUUGGAGGUUACCAACUCGGGCACUGGUUGACACUGAUAGAACAAGAUGCUGGAACAGAUAAAGCUAGAAAAAUCCUACUCUCUUCCACACAGUUCUUCCACAGAAGCUUGACUGGAAAUCUGAGGAAGGUGCCUGCAUUGCUUCUGUUCAUUUUAUGCAAAGGUGUGCAAGUGAAUUGGGGGUGGACAGGGUACCACUGGAUAUUUACUCUCUGGCACUGUGCUUACUAAGCAGAAAUGGUAGGAGAAAGCCAAGGGAAAAAAACACAACCAUUGACUCAAAGACUGUGUGUGGAGGUUCCAGAACUCUGCACACAAUCCACUUUGCUCCAUGUAAGCAGAAGGAGCGGUUUUGAUUUUUUUUUUUUCUCUCCCUUAGCUAGGACGUUUUCUAGUUGACAGAUUAAGUAGCUCUUCUCUGGUCCGGGCACAUACUGAAAUGACCCCCACAAAUUGGGAAGGGGAAGAGUAACAGAGUCCAGUAAAAUGUAGGCAGGCUUCAUGUAACUUUCAGAGCUAAGAGACCUCCGUCAGAGCUGCUAAGGCUUGAUUUCACCAUUGGUGACCAACUGUUUCAGAAUUUGCAUCACGGUGAGUUGUGAAAUGUUUUGAAAAAUUAAUAUGCACAUGCCACUCUAUUAUUUGAACAUUAAAGCACAGGUUUGUGCACUAUAUCUCCUAGCGCUUAACUUGCUAGAAUCAGUUUACACACUUAAGGCCCCUUAAAGACCAAACAAGCAAGCUCCUCCUCUUUUCCCCUCCAUAGGGCAAAAGCUAAACAAACAAACAAACAAAAAUCAAGGAAGGUGUCAAUAAUUUAUAUGGUGGUUCACUAUCUAUGAUUUAAAUAUGUCACAACAAACAUAUACACUUAAUGCUAACCAGACAGAGCUCCAGAGUCAUGAGGCAGGUCGGUAAGACGAAGGGGAGAGAAUUUGGCUUUGUUUUGCCUUGUUUAGUCUUGUAAUGUCUCACAAAAUCCUAAACAGAAUAUUGGCUACCACUUUGGCUACCUCGUUUCGCUGAAUGGCAGAGGAGAUGCAAUCCCCCAAAGAGUUUCUUCAGUAUAAAAAUAAUGUAUUCAAAAUUCAUUCGUGUCAGGGGAAUUUGGGCCAGGCAGGAAGGACAGGGACACCCUCUCACCUCUGUGGUUAGAUAAAACUAUUAUGUACAAAAGGACUUAUCCAUUUUCACCUGUACCUCCAUACACACACACACAUACACAUUCAGGGCACACAUACUAGUUAAUCCAUUAAGAAGAAAAGCAGCAGCUGUUGGUCAAAUCAAAGGAAAAAGACAGACCACAUUCCACACAUCCUGAAGAUCCUUCAGUCUUUUUUUAAAAAAUGCUAAAAUCACAAAAGAGGUUCUCCAGAGAGGCUGGCAAAAGAGAAGAGCUUCAGGUUCGGCUUGGGAACGAUCCAGUCCAAGGCUCCCUUCCCUGCAGUAGUAGAGAGAACCCGCAGUUCCUCCGCUCAAUACAAGGGGUAGACAGAAGUUCUCUUUUCCAACUUUGUUGUGUGAAAUCACUUCCUACCUCAAAAUCAGAGUUGCACGAGAGGAGAUCAGCAGCCACAGAAUUGUCCAUUUGUUUCACAGAUAAAGUCCGCUGACAGCAAGUGAAUUGUUGCACCAAAAAAA